UUUUGGCUACUCUUCCCGGCAGGGAAAUUGGAGAGUAGACAGUCAAUAACAUUUAAACAGAAUGUUAUUCUUGUAUCUGUAGCUGCCUAGCAAUUGUUUCUCUGGUGGUGGUGAUGGUGGGGAGGAGGAGGGGGCAGAUAAUCUAUGCUACAUUUGCUGUUUAAUUUGGAUUGCCAGUGAUAACGUGGAGCCCUCCUGCUUUAAGCAAAGGUAGGAUGCAGAGGCAGAAACAUUAGCGGCAAUCUGCUGCAGAACAGAGGAGAUAAAUCAGCAGGGCUCGCUGCCGCCGGCUCAUACAUCACGAAGGGAGAAUCGGAGUGCAACUUGACCAUGUGCCUGAACGGUCACAUCACUAAGAACAAUGCAGGAUGGAUAACAAAACUAAAAUAUACCCUUAGGGCUGCUUCUUGGGUUCGACUGAUGAGGACACCACAGUAUUCCAAAAUUAGAGCAAAGCCCAAUUCCUCAUGGGACUUCUUGUGCAAGGAGGCAUUGAAAUUUGGCAGCCCCUCACCUGAACGUGUUUGGGCCAGUGGAUGGCCUAUGCUUUAAUGUGCAUAUUAUCCCUGAAUUGGACAGUAUCAUGUUUUGGUUCCCACCUGUGCAUAAAUUGUACUGAUUGUACAUUGUGGCUCUUCUUCAAUAUAUGUGCAUAUGAUUUGCUAAGGAAACUAUUGAACCAACUCUUGCUUACUUUACUGUUUGUUCGAUAUGUCACCUGAUUAUAUCAAACCGUAUUAAUGAUUGAUUUGUCAAAACUGAAUCUCUUUCCUAGACAAUUUUUCCUAGCUGGUGGUUGAUUAAAAAUGGCAGCAACAUUAAAA